GGAGUGUGGCUCAGUGGCAGAGCCCUCGCCUAGUGUGUGCGAGGACCUGGGUUCAAUCCCCAGUCCA
rnacentral:tRNA from 1 species